UAACUAUCUCCAAAUAUUAAUUAGUUAAUAAUGAAUAAUACAAAACAUUAAUUCAUAAGAAAUUAGAAAAAUAUUUUACUAACUUUCAAGCUAUACACAUGGCAUCAAAUUUCUCAUUGAGCUAAAGCUUAGGGGCAUCCUAAGGCCAGGGAGAGCUGUGGUGAUAAAAAGCUUUAGCUCAGAGAAGAAAAUAAAGGUACGCAUUUGACCAGAAGCCGAAGUGACAUUUGGAAGAAGAAAAUGUGCUUCAAAAUGGAUUAUUAUGCUAUCCCUUACCUUAUUUUCCUCUUUUUUUCCUCUCUGUAAUUACAUUUAACAGUACAAAAACUCAGCAACCUUAUUACUUAUGAUACAUCUCUUAUCCUCAUUCUGUAAUCUUCAAGUUACAGAAGAAAUGGAACAAAGGGUACAAUCUCGUUUGGUCUUGAUAUGCCAUGGCAGCUCUAAAACUCAGGAGCACUGUUCUUAUCAUUCCCAGCAUCCAAUAUGCUGUUCUCAUCCUCAGAAGAUGGAUGAUUAUGGCUACUAUCAACUCCUAGUAAAAUGGAACGGGUCAGACAAGGUGUUGGACAAAUGCAAACAGAGACUUUUCAAAUGGUUGAGCUCUUGAAAAAGAGAAAACCAGCAAUAUAUACCAUCAGAAUCAUCUGCAGGAGCAUAAGCUGAGCGCCUUGAACGCACUUGGUGCUGCUGUGGGGAGGGCUGCAAUUUUGGGCGGAGAGCUUCAAGUGGUCCUUUAGGCUUUUGUGCUCCUUGCUUUCCUAAUGCCCAAUCUGCAGAAUCAAAAAAUGCGCGUUCCUGAUCCUUGGAUAUCAAUGGCUUCUUCUUUGGUAAAAUUCCCCCAUAUUUUUUCUUGAUUGCCUCCUCCUCCUGCUCAGUUGAAGGCAAGGCCAUGGAGUUUUCACCAUUUUGGUCCGAUUCUUUGAGCUCUUCCACUGAGUGAUCAACAUCAUCAUCAUCAUCAUCAUCAAGCAAGUUUAUAUCAGCAAUAGGAGACCCAGGAAUGAAGAGUCCAAAUGUGAGAGUGGCAUUUGAAGCUUGGAAUUUCUGCAAU
rnacentral:misc_RNA from 1 species